CUACGGGGGGCUGCAGUGAGGAAUAUUGCGCAAUGGGGGAAACCCUGACGCAGCGACGCCGCGUGGAUGAUGAAGGCCUUCGGGUCGUAAAAUCCUGUCAGAAGGAAAGAAGUGUAUGGUAGCUAAUAUCUGCCAUACUUGACUGUACCUUCAAAGGAAGCACCGGCUAACUCCGUGCCAGCAGCCGCGGUAAUACGGAGGGUGCAAGCGGUGUUCGGAAUUACUGGGCGUAAAGCGCGCGUAGGCGGUUUUAUAAGUCAGAUGUGAAAGUCCACGGCUCAACCAUGGAAGUGCAUUUGAAACUGUAAGACUUGAGUAUUGGAGGGGGUAGUGGAAUUCCCGGUGUAGAGGUGAAAUUCGUAGAUAUCGGGAGGAAUACCGGUGGCGAAGGCGACUAUCUGGCCAAAUACUGACGCUGAGGUGCGAAAGCGUGGGGAGCAAACAGGAUUAGAUACCCUUGUAGUC
rnacentral:rRNA from 1 species